UGGAGAGGUGGCCGAGCUUGGUUGAAGGCGACGGUCUCGAAAACCGUUAUAGUGUCACAGCUAUCGUGGGUUCAAAUCCCACCCUCUCCGU
rnacentral:tRNA from 1 species